GACGAAGGAUCCAAGCGUUAUCCGGAUUUAUUGGGUUUAAAGGGUGCGUAGGCGGAUUGAUAAGUCAGUGGUGAAAGCCUGCAGCUUAACUGCAGAACUGCCAUUGAUACUGUCAAUCUUGAAUAUGUUUGAUAUGGGCGGAAUAUGACAUGUAGCGGUGAAAUGCUUAGAUAUGUCAUAGAACACCGAUUGCGAAGGCAGCUCACAAAGCCAUUAUUGACGCUGAGGCACGAAAGCGUGGGGAUCAAACAGG
rnacentral:rRNA from 1 species